rnacentral:misc_RNA from 1 species
GGAAAAAUAAAAUAAAAGGGCAAAGAAUGGAUAACAGUGGUCUAUUGACAGUGGUCUAUAACCAAUAUCUUGAAAUUUAGUUCUGGAGAAGGCAAUUUGCCUAAUGAUUACCUUCUCUUCUUGUGCUUCUUCUUCUCCUCUGAGAUAAUAUAUAAUUGGUGUCUCCUUUAAUUAACACCCAUCUCAGGAGAGAUGGGGAAGGUAGGCACAAGGUUGCCAAGUUUCUGCCUGAACAGGAUUAGGCCUCAUGUUAGAGUCCGAUCACCGCCUAUACAAUCCAAGCUUAAUGUGAAUAUUUGUACUGCUGCUUCUACUAAAAAUGAUCAGAAGACUACUAGUGAGAAUCUAGCAGGAAAUACUCCCGGGGAAGAGAAGUCCAGCGAGGGAGUAAAGCCCUUAAUUGGCAGGAAAAUCAUGAUAGUGGUUGAUUCAAGCUUGGAAGCCAAGGGAGCUCUGCAAUGGGCACUCUCUCACACUGUUCAAAGCCAGGAUCUUGUCAUUCUUCUUCAUGUAGCCAAGCCUUCCAACAAACAAGCUACAAGCGAGGAGCCAAGCAAGGAAAGAGCUCCAAGGGCUUAUGAACUUGUAAACUCCUUGAAGAAUAUGUGCCAAUUGAAGAGACCUGAGGUGGGUAGUGAUUAGUUUAAGUUACUUGUUGAUCUUCAGAGAAGCUUUUAAUUUUUUUCAUAACUUCAAGCUUCUUAAUAAUUAAAAAGAAGGGGAAUUAAUGGUUAAGUAUCCCAAAUCGGUUAGUUAAGUAAGGAAUGUUAGUUAAGUGAGUAAUGUAUUCCUUGUGCAACACUUUUCUCGACCCUACCUAUUUUUCUUUACAGCUAUUCAUAGAUGUUCAGCCUUGCAAAUUUUAUGUUCGUUCGUUCUUGGACAUGAGGAACUAAAUAUAAAGACUUGAGCGAUUGGGGGAUUCUCCCUCCUUGAGUUAGUUUUUGGGGUGAAUUUCCACCCGUUCAUUUUCUUAUUAUUAAUGCUUUAUUAUGUUCAAUUUGAGAGGCGUUUAAUUGCCUUGUAUGCAGAUACAAACUGAGAUUGCAGUGGUGGAGGGAAAGGAGAAAGGUCCACUAAUAGUGGACGAGGCAAAAAAGCAAGGGGUGGCGCUUCUGGUUCUAGGGCAGAAGAAGAGAUCAAUGACAUGGAGAUUGAUCAUGAUGUGGGCAAGCAAUAGAGUCACAGCAGGUGGUGUGGUUGAAUACUGCAUCCAAAAUGCUAAUUGCAUGGCCAUUGCAGUAAGGAGGAAAAGCAAAAAACAUGGAGGUUAUUUGAUCACCACCAAGCGUCACAAAGAUUUCUGGCUCUUAGCUUAAACACCCAUUAAUUAUUUAUUAAUUAAUUUGAUGUCUUAAUUAUUCCCUCUCUUUUUCUUUAUUUAUAUAUAUUUUUUUCUUUAAUUUUCAAGGUUUGGAUGUCCCAUGAUUGCUUUUGUAAAUGAUAAAGUGUAGUGAGAAAUGAAAAGGGAAUUGGGUUGUGAAUGAUAAAGUAUUGAGUGUCAUUAUUUAGAGCAUUCGGUAUUGUGGCUAAGGGAGGGAUCAAUGGGACCCCUUUGACCCCUUUUGUGUCUCUUGCGUAUGCUACAGUAGCUCAACUAGCCACAUGUUUCUGCAACCUUUAUUUAUGCACAUAUUGAAACUUUUGAUGAGACCCUAAUAAGAUUAUUGCUGGUAAUGUUGAUUUAAUAGUAAUUAAGUGAUUGAUU